UCUCACAUGACUCACUUAUCAGCAACAUCAUCUUCACUCAGCAACAUCAUAGACACGAUUGAAUACUUAAUCCCAAAAUGAAAUUUUGAACCCUAACCCCUUCUUCUUCAUAGCCAUUAUCACAGUCUCACAGCCAUGAUGAACAAAGCUCCUCAAUGAACAUGAACUCCUUCUUCUUCAUAGCCACAUCUCUUCUCACCUAAUCCCCAAGAUCAAAGCUCCUCUCAUCUUGCCGAUUCCACCGAUUCCACUCUCAUCUCGCCGAUUCCACUCUCAUCUCGCCGAUUCCAUUCCCGAUUCCCAAUUGAGCUUUCGACCCUCAAAGAAACGAAGAAACAAAGAACCCAAACAGCAGGUUGUUUGCUAAUGAAAAAAUUUUCAAUGACUUAAUGAAGAGAUAUAUGAGUGCGACAAGCAAGACAAGGUGCUUAUAUAGCAGAGGCAGAGAGAUUAUCACACUUCAAGUUGCGAAUUGUUAAAGAGGAAAAAGGUUUUGACAAUGUGUUUGGCAGUGUCAUUGGUAAUAUAUGGGAUCGGCAUUUGUGUGAUUGUAGUUUUGGUGGGUUAAAGGGCUGGGUUUAUUGUACUUAAACUAAGAGAGAAAAAAACUAAGAAAAGUUUUUGAUGUAGUGGAGUGUUUUUUGUAAAUGUGUUUCCAAGUAUCAAUGCAUCUGCGGGUGUUGUCUGAUAAUUUUGCUGGUUCUGUCAGAUAUAUUUAAGGUUUUGAGAGUUUAUUUGUUGUACUUUUCACUUUAAUGAAAUGGCAAUCUUAUUCCCCAAA